rnacentral:rRNA from 1 species
AUUGAACGCUGGCGGCAGGCCUAACACAUGCCAGUCGAGCGGAUGAAGGGAGCUUGCUCCUGGAUUCAGCGGCGGACGGGUGAGUAAUGCCUAGGAAUCUGCCUGGUAGUGGGGGAUAACGUCCGGAAACGGGCGCUAAUACCGCAUACGUCCUGAGGGAGAAAGUGUGGGAUCUUCGGACCUCACGCUAUCAGAUGAGCCUAGGUCGGAUUAGCUAGUUGGUGGGGUAAAGGCCUACCAAGGCGACGAUCCGUAACUGGUCUGAGAGGAUGAUCAGUCACACUGGAACUGAGACACGGUCCAGACUCCUACGGGAGGCAGCAGUGGGGAAUAUUGGACAAUGGGCGAAAGCCUGAUCCAGCCAUGCCGCGUGUGUGAAGAAGGUCUUCGGAUUGUAAAGCACUUUAAGUUGGGAGGAAGGGCAGUAAGUUAAUACCUUGCUGUUUUGACGUUACCAACAGAAUAAGCACCGGCUAACUUCGUG